rnacentral:rRNA from 1 species
UACGUAGGGGGCGAGCGUUGUCCGGAUUUAUUGGGCGUAAAAGCGCACGCAGGCGGUCGAGUCAGUUUGGAGUGACAGGUGGUGGCUUAACUGCCACAGCCUCCAAAGACGGCUUGACUUGAGGGCUUGAGAGGGACGCGGAAUUCCAGGUGGAGCGGUGAAAUGCGUAGAGAUCUGGAAGAACACCAAAGGCGAAGGCAGCGUCCUGGCAAGUUCCUAACGCUCAUGUGC